GACGAACGCUGGCGGCAUGCCUAAUACAUGCAAGUCGAGCGGAGUUGAUGGAAAGCUUGCUUUCCUGAUACUUAGCGGCGGACGGGUGAGUAACACGUAGGCAACCUGCCCUCAAGCUUGGGACAACUACCGGAAACGGUAGCUAAUACCGAAUACUUGUUUUCUUCGCCUGAAGAGAACUGGAAAGACGGAGCAAUCUGUCACUUGGGGUUGGGCCUGCGGCGCAUUAGCUAGUUGGUGAGGUAACGGCUCACCAAGGCGACGAUGCGUAGCCGACCUGAGAGGGUGAUCGGCCACACCGGGACUGAGACACGGCCCAGACUCCUACGGGAGGCAGCAGUAGGGAAUCUUCCGCAAUGGGCGAAAGCCUGACGGAGCAAUGCCGCGUGAGUGAUGAAGGUUUUCGGAUCGUAAAGCUCUGUUGCCAGGGAAGAACGCUUGGGAGAGUAACUGCUCCCAAGGUGACGGUACCUGAGAAGAAAGCCCCGGCUAACUACGUGCCAGCCGCCGCCGUAA
rnacentral:rRNA from 1 species